rnacentral:lncRNA from 1 species
GUGUAGAGUGAUUUCUUGCUGAACUGUAUUUUGACUGACCAGUAUAUGUAUGGCUUUGUGCUUUGUGGCAAAAUCACUGGGGAAAUUGUAGGGAUUAGUGAAGGGACCACCAAGAAAAUAUUCUGAGGCAUAUCGUCAAAAAUAUAAAACCAUGUUAAGCUUUUGGUAGUGAAGGGAGGUAUGGUGCUUCUUUCUAAGCUGAGUAGGAGGUUCAAAGCCAAACCUGAAAAUGAAUAGAAACCUUACAAAUCAUGAAACUCAAAGCUAAUUUCUGUAUUAAUGUAAGAUGUAAGUAUGGGCGAAUAGAAAACAUAAUCAAUUCUGAAUAUCCUAUUCAUUAUAUACAAAGCUAGUAUUAUUGGUCUUGGAUAGAGUAUGAGGAAAUAAUCUAUUUUCCGUAAAUUGCUAGUCGAUGUAUGUUUGUCUUGUUACCUGCUUUCUCUGCAGAACUGAGCACAGGGGCCCUCGGUAAACAUUACAGAAUGAAUAAAGUAAUUAAUGAUGAAUCUGAACCUUUCAAACACCCUUGCGAGGUUUCCCUUGGGACCAACAGUAAUAGCAUUUGCUAUGAAUGCAAAAGUUAUGGCUGAGCAGGCACUUUUUGUAUCUGGAGGUUUGGGACCACCUCCUCUUGGGUACAUUAACUCAUAAGAAGGAAGAGAACCAGGUCAAUCAUUUCUCAACAUGAUGUCAGUCAUUGUAUUAAACCAGUGGUCCCCAGACUUUUGGAU